rnacentral:rRNA from 1 species
UCCAUCUAAAGCUAAAUACUGGCGAGAGACCGAUAGCGAACAAGUACCGUGAGGGAAAGAUGCAAAGAACUUUGAAAAGAGAGUCAAAGAGUGCUUGAAAUCGGUAGGAGGAAACCCGGAUGGGCCCGGCUUCGGCGUCGCGACUCAGCCCCCUGCUCGGGGGGGUGCACUUUGCGCCGCCGGGUCAGCCGCCGCUCGGGCCGCGGUACAACGGGGGAGCAGGGCUCCGGCGAGCUCCCCUCCUGCCGCGCCCGGGGCGCCGUCUGACGGAACGGGCCCCUCCGACCCGUCU